AUCAUCUAUCUAUCUACCUAUCUAUGUCUAUCUAUCUAUCCAUGUCUAUCUAUCUAUCUAUCUAUCUAUCUAUCUAUCUAUCUAUCUAUCUGCUUUUGAGAUGUAGAAGAGAGGGGAGAAGAGAAAAGCACAAGAGAGCUGCUUGGGGACCAAACCAGGAGAUGGCCACCAUUGUGUCAUCUGCAAGCGUGGGGCAUCGUGUGAUCUCCUCUACAGUGCAUUGCAAACCCUUUAGGGGCUACCCUUUGUCUGCUCCCUGUGAAACACCCCCGCCCCAGCCUGCUGUCUAUCAGAUGACAAGGCUGCAUCGAGUCUCAUCUGACAAGCUAUUGUCAGGCAGAUGUCUUCAUUAAGUCUGUGUAGGAAGACGAGCACAUCAAAGGGAAGAAGCCAGCAUUUUCCUUCUGGAACUCUGCAUAGGAAUCAUAUAUUUUGGAAGAUGAUCUGUGAGUAAGAGUAGCUUGUUCUGUUUUGUGUGUGGUGGUAAUUGUGUGGGGAUUAGAAACACCUGUACCAAACAUCUGCUGGGUCCUGGCUCCCUCCUUUUGUCAUCUUGGAAUACGUGUAACGUUAUUCCCUACUUCAGAAAGCAAUAACGAUUGAGGCAUUUAGGUCGUAAUGCCUGGCAGAGGGAGUUUGGGAAUUAGGUGAGAUAAUCAAAAAUGGCGGGAACUUGGGGGGGGGGCAAGCAAGAGUAACAGCCUCUGCUGCAUGUUUCCUGGGGAAGUCUUUCUCUUUGGCAGCAGCCAUUUAAUGUCAAUCUUGUCUGUUUUAGGUGUCUAAGAUGAACUAAAAGUGAGUCCUUUGGACAUUUAAUAUUCCUCUUCCCAGCUGGAGGAUUGAAAUAGCCUCCCCUCUCUCGUGUCUAAGUUGGCUACUUUCAUGUUUCUAAAAGCUUGUCAAGUGCCUCUUCUCGGGAUUUAUUCCCGGUUUUGAUUCUUUGGUGCUUUUCAAGUUACCUCAUAUCCUUGCACGGGUCGCAUUCUAAUUUCUCUUUAAGUAGCAAAGCACUUCAGCAGUCCCUGAGGCAGAGACUCUUACCUCAGCAGGCCAGAGAAAGUAGAGCCCAGGAUCGACCAACAGAGCAGACCCUGGAGACCAAACCAGAGACGCAGCGGUCUGUCAAAUUCUUGGUCUGUUAAUUGACUUCAAUAUUCUGAUAACUAGGUUUGCUUGCUAUCUUGAUUAUUUAUUUAUUUUACUUUCUCCUUCCAACUUUCUGUGUAGAUAAGGGUGACCUUGAACUCCUGCCUCCCCUGUACCUCUCAAGGUUUUCAUCACCUUGUGUGACAAGACCCAGAGUUUAGUUUUUGGUCCUGGGGAUCAAACCCAGGGCCUCACAGAUGCUGGAAAAAAAUAUGUCACAGCCUUCCCUUUUAAAAAUAAAAUUCAGUUUAUCUUUAUUACGUA